GACGAACGCUGGCGGCGUGCUUAACACAUGCAAGUCGAACGGAAAGGCCCUGCUUUUGUGGGGUGCUCGAGUGGCGAACGGGUGAGUAACACGUGAGUAACCUGCCCUUGACUUUGGGAUAACUUCAGGAAACUGGGGCUAAUACCGGAUAGGAGCUCCUGCUGCAUGGUGAGGGUUGGAAAGUUUCGGCGGUUGGGGAUGGACUCGCAGCUUAUCAGCUUGUUGGUGGGGUAGUGGCUUACCAAGGCUUUGACGGGUAGCCGGCCUGAGAGGGUGACCGGCCACAUUGGGACUGAGAUACGGCCCAGACUCCUACGGGAGGCAGCAGUGGGGAAUAUUGCACAAUGGGCGGAAGCCUGAUGCAGCAACGCCGCGUGCGGGAUGACGGCCUUCGGGUUGUAAACCGCUUUCGCCUGUGACGAAGCGUGAGUGACGGUAAUGGGUAAAGAAGCACCGGCUAACUACGUG
rnacentral:rRNA from 1 species